rnacentral:rRNA from 1 species
GUCUGUUUGAUCAUAUUUGCUACUCAGAUAACCGUAGUAAUUCUAGAGGUAAUACGUGCAAUAAACCCUGACUUCUAGAAAGAAUGCAUUUAUUAGAUAAAAGGUCGACGCGGGCUUUACCCGUUGCUCUGAUGAUUCAUGAUAACUCGACGGAUCGCAUGGCCUUUGUGCCGGUGACACAUCAUUCAAAUUUCUACCCUAUCAACUUUCGAUGGUAGGAUAGUGGCCUACUAUGGUGAUGACGGGUGAUGGAGAAUUAGGGUUCGAUUCCAGAGAGGGAGCCUGAGAAAUGACUACCACAUCCAAUGAAGGCAGCAGGCGUGCAAAAUACCCAAUCCUGACACGGGGAGGUAGUGACAAUAAAUAACAAUAUCGGGCUCUAUGAGUCUGGUAAUUGGAAUGAGUACAAUGUAAAUCCCUUAACGAGGAACCAUUGGAGGGCAAGUCUGGUGCAGCAGCCAUGGUAAUUCCAGGUCUAAUAGUGUAUAUUUAAGUUGUUGCAGUUAAAAAGCUCGUAGUUAGACCUAGGGGUGGGUAGGCCGAUCCACCUCACGGUGAGCACCGGUCUGCUUGUCCUUACUGUCGGUGAUGCGCUCCUGGCCUUAAUUGGUCGGGUUGUUCCUCCGGCACUGUUACUUUGAAGAAAUUAGAGUGCUCAAAGUAGGCCUACGCUUGUAUACAUUAGCAUGGGAUAACAUCACAGGAUUUCAAUCCUAUUGUGUUGGCCUUCGGGAUCAGAGUAAUGAUUAACAGGGACAAUCGGGGGCAUUCGUAUUUCAUUGUCAGAGGUGAAAUUGUUGGAUUUAUGAAAGAUGAACAACUGCGAAAGUAUUUGCCAAGGAUGUUUUCAUUAAUCAAGAACGAAAGUUGGGGGCUCGAAGACGAUUAGAUACCGUCCUAGUCUCAACCAUAAACGAUGCCGACCAGGGAUCGGCGAAUGUUGGUUUUAGGACUCUGCCGGCACUGGGAUCGACCCCUCCACGUCUCGGAGCACUGGGAUCGCUUGCUCCCGCAUGCACUUCGUACUGUUGGGCGGCACGACCCGGUGUCUCUGAGGCAAAAAGAGCAACCCCCAGCGUGAAUCGCGACAAGGAAUUAAAAUGAAAAGGCAGUCGUGUCUUGUCCCCUCCCUGUUCGCGGUGUACGUGCGGCAUAGAUACGCAUGCCUUGUCGUGAAAACACAAAAACAACUCUCAGUAACGGAUAUCUCGGCUCUCGCAUCGUUGAAGAACGUAGCGAAAUGCGAUACCAGGUGUGAAUUGUAGAAUCCUGUGAACCAUCGAGUCUUUGAAUGAAGUUGUGCCUCAAGCCAUUAGGCUGAGGUCAUGUCUGCGUGGGUUACACAUAUCGUUGGACCCAUCCGAACCUGAACCAUAGGGUAUCGGUCGAGGUGUGGGUGUAAAUUGGCCUCCCGUGCGCAAAACGCUCAUUGUUGGCCUAAAAUUGAGUACACAAUGUCACGUUAUCGCGACGAUUGGUG